CCAAUAAGAGACGGCACUCCAAAUUGAGAGUGAAGUAGAACUGAAGCUUUUAAUCAAACACUCUGCUUUUAUGCACAUUUUACAAACAUAGUACCGGCCACAGGGUUUUGCAGAACAACCAGUCAAUAUGUACAAUACACUCAGACACUCCCACACAAAAUCCUCCCCUCUGCCUGUGAUAUAAUUACUGAACACAAUGGGUUAAUGUAAU